rnacentral:rRNA from 1 species
CCUACGGGAGGCAGCAGUGAGGAAUAUUGGUCAAUGGACGAGAGUCUGAACCAGCCAAGUAGCGUGAAGGAUGACUGCCCUAUGGGUUGUAAACUUCUUUUAUAUGGGAAUAAAACGUUCCACGUGUGGGAUUUUGUAUGUACCAUAUGAAUAAGGAUCGGCUAACUCCGUGCCAGCAGCCGCGGUAAUACGGAGGCUCCGAGCGUUAUCCGGAUUUAUUGGGUUUAAAGGGAGCGUAGGUGGAUUGUUAAGUCAGUUGUGAAAGUUUGCGGCUCAACCGUAAAAUUGCAGUUGAAACUGGCAGUCUUGAGUACAGUAGAGGUGGGCGGAAUUCGUGGUGUAGCGGUGAAAUGCUUAGAUAUCACGAAGAACUCCGAUUGCGAAGGCAGUUCACUGGACUGCAACUGACACUGAGGCUCGAAAGUGUGGGUAUCAAACAGGAUUAGAUACCCUUGUAGUC